rnacentral:rRNA from 1 species
GACGAACGCUGGCGGCGUGCUUAACACAUGCAAGUCGAGCGGAAAGGCCCUUUCGGGGGUACUCGAGCGGCGAACGGGUGAGUAACACGUGAGUAAUCUGCCCUUGGCUUUGGGAUAACCACCGGAAACGGUGGCUAAUACCGGAUAUGACGGGCUCCGGCAUCGGGGUUCGUGGAAAGUUUUUCGGCCAGGGAUGUGCUCGCGGCCUAUCAGCUUGUUGGUGGGGUAAUGGCCUACCAAGGCUUCGACGGGUAGCCGGCCUGAGAGGGUGACCGGCCACACUGGGACUGAGACACGGCCCAGACUCCUACGGAGGCAGCAGUGGGGAAUAUUGGACAAUGGGCGGAAGCCUGAUCCAGCAACGCCGCGUGAGGGAUGACGG